rnacentral:rRNA from 1 species
UACGUAGGUGGCAAGCGUUGUCCGGAAUCACUGGGCGUAAAGCGCGCGCAGGCGGCGAUCUACGUCUGGGGUGAAAGCCCGGAGCUCAACUCCGGGACUGCCUUGGAUACGGGAUCGCUUGAGGAUUGGAGAGGCAAGGGGAAUUCCACGUGUAGCGGUGAAAUGCUUAGAUAUCGGGUGGAACACCAGUGGCGAAGGCGCUGCUCUGGGCCGGUACUGACGCUGAGGAGCGAAAGCGUGGGUAGCAAACAGG